rnacentral:rRNA from 1 species
AGUGAACGCUGGCGGUAGGCCUAACACAUGCAAGUCGAACGGCAGCACAGUAAGAGCUUGCUCUUACGGGUGGCGAGUGGCGGACGGGUGAGGAAUACAUCGGAAUCUACUUUUUCGUGGGGGAUAACGUAGGGAAACUUACGCUAAUACCGCAUACGACCUACGGGUGAAAGCAGGGGAUCUUCGGACCUUGCGCGAUUGAAUGAGCCGAUGUCGGAUUAGCUAGUUGGCGGGGUAGAGGCCCACCAAGGCGACGAUCCGUAGCUGGUCUGAGAGGAUGAUCAGCCACACUGGAAGUGAGACACGGUCCAGACUCCUACGGGAGGCAGCAGUGGGGAAUAUUGGACAAUGGGCGCAAGCCUGAUCCAGCCAUACCGCGUGGGUGAAGAAGGCCUUCGGGUUGUAAAGCCCUUUUGUUGGGAAAGAAAAGCAGCAGGUUAAUACCCCGCUGUUCUGACGGUACCCAAAGAAUAAGCACCGGCUAACUUCGU